rnacentral:rRNA from 1 species
UACGUAGGGUGCGAGCGUUAAUCGGAAUUACUGGGCGUAAAGCGUGCGCAGGCGGUGAUGUAAGACAGGUGUGAAAUCCCCGGGCUUAACCUGGGAACUGCAUUGUGACUGCAUUGCUGGAGUGCGGCAGAGGGGGAUGGAAUUCCGCGUGUAGCAGUGAAAUGCGUAGAUAUGCGGAGGAACACCGAUGGCGAAGGCAAUCCCCUGGGCCUGCACUGACGCUCAUGCGACGAAGCGUGGGGAGCAAACAGG